CUUCCAUGUAAAUGAUUUUUUUCACUUAGUUAAUUUAUUUGCAAUCAGUUCAAUCCGAGGCUUCCGAAAAGUUAAAAGCUACUUUUAGACAAAAGUUUUCUAAGGUGAAGCUCUUUUGCUCCCGGCCAAACGGGCCCUUAGCCUUUAUUGAUGGUAUUAAAUUAGACACUCUUCAUAUAUUUGAGUUAUGAAGCCAAUUAAUCACCAAGGAGUUGGAAUUGAACUGUGCACCUUUCCUACUUCAUUUGUUCCUUUUUAUUGCCGGAAAAAGGCAUAUCAUCUCAGGCUAUCGGAUCAUAUUUUCUGACUUUUCUUUACCUCUUUUCCUGUUGUGAACUUCAUUCUAGCAACCUACUAUGUUUGAGAAUACUGAUUGCCUUAGUGCUCUUAAGAGUUAUCCUUCCUGUGAAGUCCACUGAUACUAUCAGACAUCUCAAAAGAAUCUUUGUUAGAGUUGAAGAGCCAGGGAGUCUUUUGUUUAGUUUUUAAUUAUGCUAGAAAAAUUUGAGCCAAAGAGUUAGUAAAAGGGAAAAAAAUCAGAUCUUUAUUAGAUUUUGAUUAAAGUUAUGGAAUGUGUGGUUGAAAAGUUGUGGGUCUUUUGAAAUUGUUGUUAAAAUGAUUGUUUUUGCGGAACCAAACUGGGGCUAAGUGUUGUUUUGGAAAACCACGAGUCAUUACUUUGUUUAAAAGAUUCUUUAUACCUUGGUGAAAAAGAAGAAAAAGUUAUCUUCAACACAUUAUCAGUUCUAUGAGAACAUUUGCUUCCAUUUUCAUCUUUCUAAAGAAAUAUGCACUCCAACAAUGUUGAGAAUUGAUAUCUUUCAUCAAAGUAGCAUGUUAGAUCCUUUCUCAUCGUAGUGUUGGGAUACAAAGGGAGAGCUACUCCAGAAAUGUCAAAUUUUAAUUUUACAUGGUAGCUAUGUGGUUUACUCCUGAACGUGAUCGAGAUCCACGUAUGAAAUUAAUAUGUCCAUAAAUUUACUGGAGAAGAAUAACUGAAAGAAGUAUUAGAUCGAUUGUAAAAUUGAAAGAGUAGUGUAAAAGAUAUAGUGAAGAAAGUGGAGUUUCGUUAUAUGGUAACUCCCAAGUAUCAAGGUUCCAUCUCUUUUUCAUAAGAUUUAAAUUGGUCGUUAGUUACAACAGAUUGCAAAAAUAAUUUCGUUAAUGGGACUCGAGGCAAUGGGUUUAGAUGAGAGUGCCUUGCACAUUCUCCCUGGCAGCUGAAGUAGCUUCAGAAGCUUUUGUAGACACUCGUGUCUCUUCUUAUGUCAUGUAAGCUGCUUUUCUGCUGAACAGCGUCUGAAUCAAUUAUUUGUAGAGCAUUAUCAAUAUGAAGUUUGUUUUAUUUCAGUGUUGAGGGGUGCAGAUAUAUCACAUGAGCAGAUUUUGAUAGCUUAAUAAAAACUGUUGCACAUUUAGAAAGAGAUCGAUAUGUUUGUCAUUGUAAUGGUUGCAAACUCGGAAAUAUUUUGUGAUCAAACUACUUCAGAGUAGGUGAAACAAUUUCAACCAAACGCACUUUUGAUGUCUAUAUCUAUUGAUUUCAUAUAUUGCCUGCAAAUAAUUAGUAACGUGCUUGUUUGCUUAUGCACAGGUGUGUGAGAGUCAUCCAAAUGCUGCAAUCUUGCUGCGAGCAAUGCGAAUAUAAGUCGACACAUUGUGCAUCAGUAUCUGGCCUUCUAAAGCAAAUAAACAAGUAAAUCUUUGGAACAUAUUGAAUUUUCAUAUCUCAAAUUUUUGGGAUAAAAAAUAAGUUGACCCUGAUGUGGUUUCAGCAAGUUACUGGGACUUGUAUGGUUUAACAUUGUCUGAAAGCAAUUUAAACUUGUUGACUCUCAAAAUGUAAUACCGUACUGUGUACUUGACAAAAUCACAGAGAAGAGGAUAGCAAUUUUUUGUUCUUUUUAUGUGUUAGGGUUCCUACUUUAGGUCGAUCAAAGUUUUGUAAUAAAUAAAUGUUUGUUUAUUAGUUUCAUUUGGAUGCAAAUGCUUCACUCUCAAAGUGUGGAACACAAGAUUGAUUAUUAUGCCUUCUCUGAGAUGUACCAAGGCGAAAGGAUGGUGCACAAUGACUUUUUUUUUCAUUUUUCCUGUAAGG
rnacentral:lncRNA from 1 species